UACGUAGGGUGCAAGCGUUAAUCGGAAUUACUGGCGUAAAGCGUGCGCAGGCGGCUUUGCAAGACAGAUGUGAAAUCCCCGGGCUCAACCUGGGAACUGCAUUUGUGACUGCAUGGCUGGAGUGCGGCAGAGGGGGGAUGGAAUUCCGCGUGUAGCAGUGAAAUGCGUAGAGAUGUGGAGGAACACCGAUGGCGAAGGCAGAUCUCUGGGCCGUAACUGACGCUGAGGAGCGAAAAGCAUGGGGAGCGAACAGG
rnacentral:rRNA from 1 species